rnacentral:rRNA from 1 species
GAGAGUUUGAUUAUGGCUCAGGAUGAACGCUGGCGGCGUGCCUAACACAUGCAAGUCGAGCGAGGGUUUGCUCAGUAUUGAGUAUUCUAAGACUAGAAUGUUCAAUACUGAGCAAAACCAAGCGGCGGACGGGUGAGUAACGCGUGGGUAACCUGCCCUAUACACAUGGAUAACAUACUGAAAAGUUUACUAAUACAUGAUAAUAUGUAUUUGCGGCAUCGCAGAUAUAUCAAAGUGUUAGCGGUAUAGGAUGGACCCGCGUCUGAUUAGCUAGUUGGUGAGAUAACUGCCCACCAAGGCGACGAUCAGUAGCCGACCUGAGAGGGUGAUCGGCCACAUUGGAACUGAGACACGGUCCAAACUCCUACGGGAGGCAGCAGUGGGGAAUAUUGCACAAUGGGCGAAAGCCUGAUGCAGCAACGCCGCGUGAACGAUGAAGGUCUUCGGAUCGUAAAGUUCUGUUGCAGGGGAAGAUAAUGACGGUACCCUGUGAGGAAGCCCCGGCUAACUACGUGCCAGCAGCCGCGGUAAUACGUAGGGGGCUAGCGUUAUCCGGAUUUACUGGGCGUAAAGGGUGCGUAGGUGGUCCUUCAAGUCGGUGGUUAAAGGCUACGGCUCAACCGUAGUAAGCCGCCGAAACUGGAGGACUUGAGUGCAGGAGAGGAAAGUGGAAUUCCCAGUGUAGCGGUGAAAUGCGUAGAUAUUGGGAGGAACACCAGUAGCGAAGGCGGCUUUCUGGACUGCAACUGACACUGAGGCACGAAAGCGUGGGUAGCAAACAGGAUUAGAUACCCUGGUAGUCCACGCUGUAAACGAUGUCGAUUUGGGGAUUGGGGUUUAGCCCUGGUGCCCGAAGCUAACGUGAUAAAUCGACCGCCUGGGGAGUACGGCCGCAAGGUUAAAACUCAAAUGAAUUGACGGGGGCCCGCACAAGCGGUGGAGCAUGUGGUUUAAUUCGAUGCAACGCGAAGAACCUUACCUACUCUUGACAUCCGAAGAAGAACUCAGAGAUGGGUUUGUGCCUUAGGGAGCUUUGAGACAGGUGCUGCAUGGCUGUCGUCAGCUCGUGUUGUGAAAUGUUGGGUUAAGUCCCGCAACGAGCGCAACCCUUAUCCUUUGUUGCCAGCGAUUAGGUCGGGAACUCAAAGGAGACUGCCGGUGAUAAACCGGAGGAAGGUGGGGAUGACGUCAAGUCAUCAUGGCCCUUACGAGUAGGGCUACACACGUGCUACAAUGGCGUAUACAGAGGGUAACCAACCAGCGAUGGGGAGUGAAUCUCAGAAAGUGCGUCUAAGUUCGGAUUGGAGUCUGCAACUCGACUCCAUGAAGUCGGAAUCGCUAGUAAUCGCGAAUCAGAAUGUUGCGGUGAAUACGUUCCCGGGCCUUGUACACACCGCCCGUCACACCAUGGGAGUGGGUUGUACCAGAAGUGGAUAGCUGAACCGAGAGGGUGGCGUUUACCACGGUAUGAUUCAUGACUGGGGUGAAGUCGUAACAAGGUAGCCGUACCGGAAGGUGCGGCUGGAUCACCUCCUUC